AGAUUGAACGCUGGCGGCAGGCCUAACACAUGCAAGUCGAGCGGUAGAGAGGUGCUUGCAUCUCUUGAGAGCGGCGGACGGGUGAGUAAUGCCUAGGAAUCUGCCUAGUGGUGGGGGAUAACGUUCGGAAACGGACGCUAAUACCGCAUACGUCCUACGGGAGAAAGCGGGGACCUUCGGGCCUCGCGCCAUUAGAUGAGCCUAGGUCGAUUAGCUAGUUGGUGAGGUAAAGGCUCACCAAGGCUACGAUCAGUAGCUGGUCUGAGAGGAUGACCAGCCACAUUGGGACUGAGACACGGCCCAAACUCCGUACGGGAGCAGC
rnacentral:rRNA from 1 species